rnacentral:rRNA from 1 species
ACACUCCUACGGGGGGCAGCAGUGAGGAAUAUUGGACAAUGGGUGGAAGCCUGAUCCAGCCAUCCCGCGUGCAGGAAGACGGCCCUAUGGGUUGUAAACUGCUUUUAUCUGGGGAUAAACCUACUUACGUGUAAGUAGCUGAAGGUACCAGAAGAAUAAGCACCGGCUAACUCCGUGCCAGCAGCCGCGGUAAUACGGAGGGUGCAAGCGUUAUCCGGAUUUAUUGGGUUUAAAGGGUCCGUAGGCGGACUGAUAAGUCAGUGGUGAAAUCCGACAGCUUAACUGUCGAACUGCCAUUGAUACUGUUAGUCUUGAGUAAGGUUGAAGUGGCUGGAAUAAGUAGUGUAGCGGUGAAAUGCAUAGAUAUUACUUAGAACACCAAUUGCGAAGGCAGGUCACUAAGUCUUAACUGACGCUGAUGGACGAAAGCGUGGGGAGCGAACAGGAUUAGAAACCCCAGUAGUCCCAUG